rnacentral:rRNA from 1 species
UACGUAGGGUGCAAGCGUUAAUCGGAAUUACUGGGCGUAAAGCGUGCGCAGGCGGUUUGGUAAGACAGAUGUGAAAUCCCCCGGGCUUAACCUGGGAAUUGCAUUUGUGACUGCCCGGCUAGAGUGUGUCAGAGGGGGGGUAGAAUUCCACGUGUAGCAGUGAAAUGCGUAGAGAUGUGGAGGAAUACCGAUGGCGAAGGCAGCCCCCUGGGAUAACACUGACGCUCAUGCACGAAAGCGUGGGGAGCAAACAGG